rnacentral:rRNA from 1 species
GACGAACGCUGGCGGCGUGCCUAAUACAUGCAAGUAGAACGCUGAAGGAGGAGCUUGCUUCUCUGGAUGAGUUGCGAACGGGUGAGUAACGCGUAGGUAACCUGCCUGGUAGCGGGGGAUAACUAUUGGAAACGAUAGCUAAUACCGCAUAAGAGUAGAUGUUGCAUGACAUUUGCUUAAAAGGUGCAAUUGCAUCACUACCAGAUGGACCUGCGUUGUAUUAGCUAGUUGGUGGGGUAACGGCUCACCAAGGCGACGAUACAUAGCCGACCUGAGAGGGUGAGCGGCCCCAGUGGGACGGGGACACGGCCAAAACUCUUGGGGGGGGCGGAAGGAGGGAUUCUGCGGAAAUGGAGGAAAGUCUGACAGAGAAGCGCGGGGGGAGUAAAGAGGGUUGUCGGUUGAAAAAGCUUGUUUGAAGGAGAAGAACGAGUGGGGGAGUGGAAAGUUCACAUUGUGACGGUAUCUAACAAGAAAGGGAGGGAAAACUACGGG